rnacentral:tRNA from 1 species
UAGGUGUUAGUUUAAACUUUAAUACAAAACUUUGGUUUGUGGGUCCAAGAAUAAUCUUAAGAUUACUCCUAU